GACGAACGCUGGCGGCGUGCCUAACACAUGCAAGUCGAACGGGGUUAAUUUGGAAGGUCCUUCGGGAACGGAAUUAUUAACUUAGUGGCGAACGGGUGAGUAACGCGUGAGAAACCUGCCUUUCAGUGGGGGACAACAGUUGGAAACGACUGCUAAUACCGCAUAAUGUAUUUAGGGGGCAUCCCCUGAAUACCAAAGCUUAAUGUGCUGAAAGAUGGUCUCGCGUCUGAUUAGCUUGUUGGCGGGGUAAACGGCCCACCAAGGCGACGAUCAGUAGCCGGUCUGAGAGGAUGAACGGCCCACAUUUGGGACUGAGAUACGGCCCAGACUUCCUAC
rnacentral:rRNA from 1 species